UCCUCAUUCCAGUGAAAAAUGCCCUAGAACAGUAAAAAUGGAGCAGGUAUCAGGCACAACUAAUAGCCCAAGACACCAAGCUUUGCCACACCCACACGGGCCAUCAGCAGUGAUAAACAUUAAGCAAUAAGCGAACACACCUAACCCACUUUUAAAGCUUGACUUAGUUAUGAUUUAAUAGGGCCGGUAAACCUCGUGCCAGCCACCGCGGUUAUACGAGGGGCCCAAAGAAGCAGACACUCGGCGUAAAUAGUGAUUAGAAUCAUGCCAAACACUAAAAAUUAAACCAUAUCCUAGACGUAAAACAAAGGAUAGAUGAAACCAAACAUUUUUAAAAACAGGCAAUUUGACCCACGAAAACUAAGAAACAAACUAGGAUUAGAUACCCUACUAUGCUUAGUCGUUAAUAAGAUAUUACUCUACUAAAAUAUCCGCCAGAAAACUACGAGCGAAAAGCUUAAAACUCAAAGGACUUGGCGGUGCUCCAUACCGACUUAGAGGAGCCUGUCCUAUAAUCGAUACUCCACGAUAAACCUUACCAGUCUUUGCCCAAUCAGCCUAUAUACCGCCGUCACCAACCUACCUCAUGAGAGAAAAAUAGUAGGUGUAAAAGCCCAACAGCUAAAACGUCAGGUCAAGGUGUAGCUAAUAGACUGGAAGAGAUGGGCUACAUUUUUUAAUAUAAAAUAUAACGGCACGGUACAAUGAAAUUUCUACCCAAAGGAGGAUUUAAUAGUAAAAUUAACAAGAAAGUUAAUUUUAAACACG
rnacentral:rRNA from 1 species